rnacentral:rRNA from 1 species
AGAGUUUGAUCCCGGCUCAGAGCGAACAUUGGCGGUAGGCUUAACACAUGCAAGUCGAGCGAGGCGUAAUAGUCGAGCGGCGAACGGGUGCGUAAUACAUGGGAAUCUACCUCGAAGUGGGGGAUAACGUCCAGAAAUGGACGCUAAUACCGCAUAAUCCAUAUUGGGAAAGCGUUGCAGCGCUUUGAGAUGAGCCCAUGGCUGAUUAGCUUGUUGGUGAGGUAACGGCUCACCAAGGCGACGAUCAGUAGCUGGUCUGAGAGGAUGACCAGCCACACUGGAACUGAGACACGGUCCAGACUCCUACGGGAGGCAGCAGUGGGGAAUCUUGCGCAAUGGGGGCAACCCUGACGCAGCCAUACCGCGUGAGUGAUGAAGGUCUUCGGAUUGUAAAGCUCUUUCGGCGGGGACGACGAUGACGGUACCCGCAAAAGAAGUCACGGCUAACUUCGUGCCAGCAGCCGCGGUAAUACGAAGGUGGCGAAUGUUGCUCGGAUUCACUGGGCGUAAAGCGUCUGUAGGUGGCUUGUUAAGUUAGAGGUGAAAGCCCCGCGCUCAACGUGGGAACUGCCUUUAAAACUGGCGAGCUUGAGAGUAUCAGAGGAAGGCGGAAUUACUGGUGUAGAGGUAAAAUUCAUAGAUAUCAGUAGGAACAUCCAUGGCGAAGGCAGCUUUCUGGAUAUAUCUGACACUGAGAGACGACAGCGUGGGGAGCAAACAGGAUUAGAUACCCUGGUAGUCCACGCCGUAAACGAUGCAUACUCGCUGUCGGGUUCGCUACAGAACUCGGUGGCUUAGCUAACGCGGUAAGUAUGCCGCCUGGGGAUUACGGCCGCAAGGUUAAAACUCAAAUGAAUAGACGGGGACCCGCACAAGUGGUGGAGCAUGUCCAUUAAUUCGAAGAUACGCGAAGAACCUUACCAAGCCUUGACAUCCUGGUAGACUUCCCUUGAAAGAGGGGGGGCAUUUAGUUGGACCAGUGACAGGUGUUGCAUGGCUGUCGUCAGCUCGUGUCGUGAGAUGUUGGGUUCCCGCAACGAGCGCAACCCUCGCCUUUAAUUGCCAGCAUUCAGUUGGGCACUUUAGAGGAACCGCCGCGGAUAACGCGGAGGAAGGUGGGGAUGACGUCAAGUCAUCAUGGCCCUUACGGCUUGGGCGUGAGACGUGCUACAAUGGUAUCGACAGAGGGCUGCCAAACCGCAAGGUGGAGCCAAUCCCUUAAACGAUAUCUCAGUUCGGAUUGUCGUCUGCAACUCGACGGCAUGAAGUUGGAAUCACUAGUAAUCGCGGAUCAGCCAUGCCGCGGUGAAUACAGUUCCCGGGUCUUGUACACACCGCCUGUCAAGCCAUGGGAGAUGGGGAUACCUUAAGCCGGUGCGCUAACCCGUAAGGGAGGCAGCCGUCCACGGUACAACCAUUGACUGGGGCUAAGUCAGAACAAGGUA